rnacentral:SRP_RNA from 1 species
CCUGGGGGAGUGAUUUACAUCUGUAGUCUCUGCUAUUAGGAAGGCUGGGAGUGAUAGGUCACUUCAGCUCAGGAAUUCUGAGCUACAGUGAGCUAAACUAAUUGAGUGUCUGCACUAAGUCCCUUACCAAUAUGGUGGGACCUGCAAACAGGGGGCCACCAGGCUGCCUAAAGAGGGGAGAGCUGAUCCAGAUUAGAAAGCACAGCAGGUCAAUGUUCUGGUGUUGAUCAGUAGUGGGAUUAGGUCUAUGAGUAAUUAGUGUACUUGCAGCUUGGGAAAGAUACAGUACCCCAAUUUCUAC